AGAUGGGGAAAAUCGAUCUGGCUGUGACAUCUGUCACCCCAUUGAUCGCAAGUUUUGAUUCAGCUGAGCUGGCUGGCUAGGCGGGUGUCCCCUUCCUCCCUCACAGCUCUAUGUGCAUCUCUCCCAAAGCUUUGUGCUCAGUGAAAGAGGACAACCUUCCCCAAAAAGAGACGGAUCAGUCUUCACUCGAGGGUAUAUGCGCAGCUGCACUCCCCUGCUAGAACCUCCAGACAGGCUCUCAAGGUCCAGAUGGGAAAACUAAGGCACUGAGAGAUGGUUAUAAGUCAGUCAAACUCAGACAGCCUGACUCCAGAGCCCAAACCCCAACUCU
ensembl:misc_RNA 7SK 7SK RNA